UACGAAGGGGGCUAGCGGUGUUCGGAAUUACUGGGCGUAAAGCGCACGUAGGCGGAUUUGUUAGUCAGGGGUGAAAUCCCGGGGCUCAACCUCGGAACUGCCUUUGAUACUGCAAGUCUCGAGUCCGGAAGAGGUGGGUGGAAUUCCUAGUGUAGAGGUGAAAUUCGUAGAUAUUAGGAAGAACACCAGUGGCGAAGGCGGCCCACUGGUCCGGUACUGACGCUGAGGUGCGAAAGCGUGGGGAGCAAACAGG
rnacentral:rRNA from 1 species